UAACUACUGAUCAGUGAUGGCUCCCAGGA
rnacentral:piRNA from 1 species